GAAACAAUCAAAUACUGGUUUAAAGUUCGUUUUCCUGAAAAUCAGGUACGAGGAAAAAGAGGCCAGUGCAUGUGCUUUUUGGAUAAGAGCAGUGGUGACUCAUAACUGCUGUUAUUCCCACUUUACAAACGGGAAGACUGAGGCAAAAGGAAGCAGUACCACGCUGUUGGCUGCUGUGGCCACUGAAAUCAAAUGAACGACCCAUGGACAGAUGGCUCUAGGCUCUUCAAUACAAAGAUGAUCCCGUGCAAACCCAGUGCCGCCGAGGUUGUUUGCUCCUCCUGAGGUAACCUUGGCAAGAAGAUCCUAUAGCUACCUCUGUGUCACCACUGAAGACAAAUUCUUGAAACAAUGAAUCGCCACUAUGAAGAGCAAGAGGGAGCACAUUCCUACCUGUGCUUCUUUUGUAAAGAACCUGAAGUGUAUUGAAGCAACAGGGCAGUGCAGCAUCCUUGGCUAGGAAGAUCAAGCCUUUGCACUGCGAGCUGGCGGACUGCAGUUAAAGGAGGAGUCAAAAGCAGGAUGAGUUUUGCUUUUCCAUUUGACUAUUUUUGACUAUGUGAAGUCUUCUGGGAGGUUAUUUGUGGGGAGGAGAAGGCUAUGAGCAUUUUGAGCUGAGCAUUUUCUUUAAGAAGAGUUGAUGAAGCAACACCACUUGUAGCAACAGCAGCUGCCACGUCCAUUCGCUUUGACCUGUGCUCUUCCUCCACGGUACACCCAGCUCACGUGGUGCUGCAGACGGCAUUUCACAUGAACAACGUAGCACUCUUUACUGUGGUGAGUAAUUUAAAGCAGAAAGGCAGGUCCAGUAAGGGAAUUGUGAAACUACUGUACUAGCAUGGAAGAUUGGAAUAUUUAAAUAACUGAAUAUUGUUAGUGAAAUAGCAUACAUAAAGCAAGCCAGAGUUUGUCCCUAUCGCUUACACCUUCCUUUGGUGGCUGUGGGAGUUCCUACAGAGCUUUCCCUGCUAUGAUAGUAAGAAAUAUGAUAACUGCAUAGUGCUAAGUCACAGCUAGGGAAGUUAUUCUUCCUGUAACACUCCUUGACCUUCUGCCACUCCUGGAAAGAUGCUCUCCCUGUUUCAUCAAGUACAAAUGAACCCUGGUCCUGGGAGAAUGAAUGGCAAAUGGGGAGGUCACUUGGCGGCUUUGUCUUCAUUCUUUACAUCCAUCCUGUGUGUAGGACACCAGUAGAUUAGGUUCUUUCCAAUAUUUUCCUGAGAAGGCAGCAACAACUGCUUUGAAAAGCACUUCUCAGCCACGUACUAUUACCUGGGAUAAAAAGGUUUGGAAGUCCUCCUGGUAGCAAUUCCAAGCUCUAAGCCUUGAUUCAGUUCCUGAAGCGUACAUGGAAAUUGUGUUAAUCCAUCAGUUUAAACAAACAUGCAGCUCAUUUCUGAACCUCUGAAAGCAGACUGAUACUGCGGGUACGCUGCAGGCCUCAAGCUUCCUCCAGAAUCUUUACUGGCUCUUGACUGUCAGGUCUAACAGCUGCAAGCGAUAUUUCCUUCUGACUGUGAGCAACACAGGACACCUAGCCCAUCCUAUCUGAUGCUAAUUUAGUUAUGGUGACUCACCCCUUCUACGAUUUCCAGGAAAUUGCUACAACAUUCUCCAGCUAUCAACACAAUCCCCAGGGGUCUGCAGAAAAUUUUGAUUCAGCGUUCUAGUUGCAGAGGAUGGUGGCUUAACUCCUUAUGUAUAACCAAAUCAAAGAAUGUAAUCCUAGCUACCAAAGCCUUUAAUGGGUGGA